rnacentral:lncRNA from 1 species
CUUGCUAGGUCAAGAUGUGCAUAUAUAAAAGUCGUUAUAAUAAUGUUACAUGUUUGUCCUCACAGAUUAUUGAAGAGCACGCAUGGCUCCAUAUUCCCAACAUUGCUAUAUCUAAACUUCAUUCCAAUAGGCAGCAAUACUCUAGAAAAGGGGCAAGGUUGGAGGGAAACGCACAAGCAUCCACUGUCUUUCGUAUGUAGCUAAAUAUUUCCAUCCAAUCUCAUCAAGUAAUGAGAGCUUUAGCUCAUAUAGUUUCUUCUUGGCAGGCUCAACAUCAUUUUGAAUUAUGUCAGAGAAAAAUACCUUCAAUGCAGUCCCAAGCCUUUUAG